ACGGGAGGCAGCAGUGGGGAAUAUUGCACAAUGGGCGGAAGCCUGAUGCAGCGAUGCCGCGUGAGGGAAGAAGGCCUUCGGGUUGUAAACUUCUUUUAUCAGGGACGAAGAACGUGACGGUACCUGAUGAAUAAGCCACGGCUAACUACGUGCCAGCAGCCGCGGUAAUACGUAGGUGGCAAGCGUUAUCCGGAUUUACUGGGUGUAAAGGGCGCGUAGGCGGGGAUGCAAGUCAGGUGUGAAAUCUAUGGGCUUAACCCAUAAACUGCAUUUGAAACUGUAUCUCUUGAGUGUCGGAGAGGUAGAUGGAAUUCCUAGUGUAGCGGUGAAAUGCGUAGAUAUUAGGAGGAACACCAGUGGCGAAGGCGAUCUACUGGACGAUAACUGACGCUGAGGCGCGAAAGCGUGGGGAGCAAACAGGAUUAGAUACCCUGGUA
rnacentral:rRNA from 1 species